rnacentral:rRNA from 1 species
CAAGUGAGCGAAGAGCUCAAGUUGGAACCUGUUUGGCCUAGCGAUAGCGUAGUGUUUACUGGAUAAUUGUUUUCCAGGCAAGCCGAUUAAAUAAGUCCUUUGGAACAGGGCAUCAUAGGGGGUGAGAAUCCCGUCUUUGGCUUGAGCCUUUGCCUUUUGUGAUACGCUUUCAAAGAAUCGAGUUGGGAGGGAAUA